rnacentral:rRNA from 1 species
GACGAACGCUGGCGGCGUGCUUAACACAUGCAAGUCGAACGGUGAAGCGCCUUCCUUUUUGGUGGGUGUGGUUGAGUGGCGAACGGGUGAGUAACACGUGAGUAACCUGCCCCCUUCUUCUGGAUAACCGCAUGAAAGUGUGGCUAAUACGGGAUAUUCUGGGUCUGUCGCAUGAUGGGUCUGGGAAAGAUAUUGUUUCGGUGGGGGAUGGGCUCGCGGCCUAUCAGCUUGUUGGUGGGGUGAUGGCCUACCAAGGCGGUGACGGAUAGCCGGCCUGAGAGGGUGGACGGUCACACUGGGACUGAGACACGGCCAAGACUCCUACGGGAGGCAGCAGUGGGGAAUAUUGCACAAUGGGCGCAAGCAUGAUGCAGCGACGCCGCGUGAGGGAUGGAGGCCUGCGGGUUGUGAACCUCUUUCGCCAGUGAAGCAGGCCUGCCUCGUUUGUGGGUGGGUUGACGGUAGCUGGAUAAGAAGCGCCGGCUAACUACGUG